rnacentral:rRNA from 1 species
GCGGGAAGUGGCUUGCUACUUUGCCGGCGAGCGGCGGACGGGUGAGUAAUGUCUGGGAAACUGCCUGAUGGAGGGGGAUAACUACUGGAAACGGUAGCUAAUACCGCAUAACGUCGCAAGACCAAAGAGGGGGACCUUCGGGCCUCUUGCCAUCAGAUGUGCCCAGAUGGGAUUAGCUAGUAGGUGGGGUAACGGCUCACCUAGGCGACGAUCCCUAGCUGGUCUGAGAGGAUGACCAGCCACACUGGAACUGAGACACGGUCCAGACUCCUACGGGAGGCAGCAGUGGGGAAUAUUGCACAAUGGGCGCAAGCCUGAUGCAGCCAUGCCGCGUGUAUGAAGAAGGCCUUCGGGUUGUAAAGUACUUUCAGCGGGGAGGAAGGCGGUGAGGUUAAUAACCUCAUCGAUUGACGUUACCCGCAGAAGAAGCACCGGCUAACUCCGUGCCAGCAGCCGCGGUAAUACGGAGGGUGCAAGCGUUAAUCGGAAUUACUGGGCGUAAAGCGCACGCAGGCGGUCUGUCAAGUCGGAUGUGAAAUCCCCGGGCUCAACCUGGGAACUGCAUUCGAAACUGGCAGGCU